AUAGGGCUCACUCCCAGAUAUUCCAAAGCCACACCCCCUACCUCUCUGUGCAACCAGAGGUGGCUGGGCAUCUACUUAGGUGGCAACCACCACGGAACAGAUCUGGGAUGGAAACACAGUCCCCGCUAUAAAGAGGGGCGACAGUACACUGGAGUAGGCUGGGGCCGCCAAGGCCACGUGCUCAGGCUACAGGUAGCAUCCCAGGAACACCAGGAGGUGAAGACGGUGAUGGAUGACAAGCCCCCUUUGCUGCAAACAAAUGGCAAAAGAACACAUCUGUGUUGUUGGGUCCCUGGUCUCCAGCCUUCCACUUUGAACUGUCUGACCCAGCGUCACUGGUGAAACUCGUCCACUCUGAAAGAUUCAAACCUCCAGCAAGACCACCCAGAGACAUCAGCAGAUGUUCCGCCUUGGUUUUGGAGUUAUUUUUUAUUAUUCCUCACUAUUAUCAACAGCAUGGGCAUAAGAACCAGAUAGGACAGGGGUUCCCAACCUUUUUGGCACCAAGGACUGGUUUUAUGGAAGACAAUUUUCCCAAGGACAGAGCAGCAGGUCUCACAGGAGGCAGAGCCCAGGCAGUGAUGUGAAAGAUAGGGACCAGCUGUAAACACAGAAGAAGGUUUACUCCCGUUGUGUGGCCCAGUUCCUAAGAGGCUACAGAUUGGCACCAGUCCACAGCCUCAGGGGCUGGGGACCACAGAGGUGAAACAUCACUAUCAAUUAAAAUCAUUUAGAAAUGUUUCUACUGAAAAACUUGCGGCGGUUUUUCUCCCCAUUUACACAGGGUAAAUGAAGGGUGGAUACAGUGGCGUCUCAUUACAGCACACACUGGACGGAUGGUCCUGCCAUCUGCCCUGGGAGUCACAUAAACCAAAUGCUGACGGCCUGGCUGCAGGAACACACACAGUGGUUGGGCAGCUGCUUCUGCAAGACCACACAGAUGAAAAUCACAACAUGAACUCACAUCGUAUAAGCACAAUCUAAAGCUCUAAGGGUCUUUACUGGUUCACUUGGUGUCUGGUGAGCUGGGAUAGUUCCUAAGAAGGCAUGGAACUGCUUCCCCCAUGGGAUGAGACUAACCACCAUCUGGAAACAAGUGGGGCCUGUGUGGCUCGUCCCCUCGGGGCGCAGUUCAGACUUGAGCCGGAAGAAUCAUCCUGACCAGCGCGCACACCGUGCGCAUGCGUGCGGCGGGGGGCGGUGAGUUGUUUUUUUCCCCAACUGGUCAACCCCUAAUCCCAGGGCCGUUCCAUUUAUGCACACACUGAACUUAUACCUUUCAGGAAGAAGUCCUGAGUGUCUCCUCUGUGCCAGACACCCUUGCCGGCAGCAUCAGUGUAGAGGAGGCAGAUACCAUCAUUUGCCCUCUCCCCUGCCCAUCUCCAAACAUUCCUAGAGGACUGUAAUUUCAAUAUUUGGAAAUACAUAAACAACUUUAAAGGGCUGGUAAAUUAUCACUAAGCAGUCUUGUUGGACCUGAUUUAAAAAAACUACUUGUCAUAAACAUUUAACUACACGUGCCAAUAUUAAAGUUAAGUGUUUGCUCUUUGGAGUAGAUUAAAUAAUAGGUCUGCGUCACGUUGAUACCAUGAGUUUGCUCGGCAAACUGUUUCAUAGACACUGGCUCCAGUGAACUUCGGCCUACCAGCCUUGACUGUCACCUGGCAUUGCAAAUUUAUGGGGGUCUCGGUUAAUGAGCUUUUACUGGGAUCUCUGACAUGGUGCUUAUAGAGCAAGAUAAUUACAGGUGUUAAUUGUUCAGUGUUUGUAUCUGCCAGACUGUGACUAAUUUUUUAAGAUAGCUGCUAUGACUGUGGGCAUGUGAGUCAAUACACAGACACUGCAAGCAAACACUGUGGUUUGUCGCUAGCUCCCUGCUGCCUCCAGACUGAACAUUAAAAUGGUGUACAUUAGGCCUGGAGAAUGGUGUUUUCUACAAGGAACAUAACACCAAGGCUCUCUGGUCACAGCAACAGUUAUCUCGGCCCUAAAUCCACACUGGAGACACCUUACAAAGCCCUGAUGUCUCUGGCCACGCUAGUGACUUAAACUGACAUCUGCAAAAUGAGCUGCUUGGACUGCAGCAAGCUGUAGACGUCCCCAAAACAGGAACUGAGAGCACCUAUAUUCAGAAUUCCAAAAGCCCCAACAGAAACCACAUAUUCACCCAUAAUUUGAUGGCUUAGGGCAAAGCAUCAUAGGCUUUGGACUAGAAUCACGUCAACUCAGUGCACAGCGGCCAUGGUGACACACCCAGAAGCUCUCUCCAGCAGCUUAGUCACUCCCUUACCAAUAAAAAUAUAAAGGAAAUUAGUGAAUGCAUAAAAAUACAAUUUUCUUGGUUCUUGUAAGUUAAAAGUUGAUCUCCAUGAUCCUUCUGUUAAAACUCCACAACUCCAACUUCCAUAGGAAGUUAUUCAUACCAAUCUUGCACAGCCCUGUACAACACAUAAUUAACAGUUAAAUGCUUUUCUUUCUUAGCUUUCCUACACCCAGUUAAAUCUUUGCAACUAAUUACAGGUGAAUCUAUUUAUAAGGUGUGCGUAUUUCCGAAAGACUCAGAUGCAGUUACCUGUUCUGUGUCAAUAUUAAGCAAAAGUCUGGAUUGGCUCAAUUAGCA